GGGGUGAGGGAGGCCCCCUGGGAUCCGCGUUUGCAAGGACCCCACGGAUCCCUUAUGGAAGGCACUGACAGUCCUUCAUAGGAAGGUGGCAGCUCAGGUCCCAAGUCUGGCAGGCAUCGCAUAGGGACUGCUGCACCCAUUGGACAGAUGGAAAGACUGAGAGAUGGAAGCAAACUGAGACAGGGCGGUGGUGACCAGGCUACUCUACGGAUUCACAUCUCAGAAGGACGAUGUGCUCCAGCGUGCAGGAAAUGCUUUAUGGAUAAAUACGCAAAGCAUGUGCAAACGUGAAGGUUAUCUUUACUGGCUGUCAGCACGUGAGUGGUUAUCUAAGAACACCCAAAGCAGAGUCGCCAGGUGGAGUGGUGCCCGAGGAGGCCGCACACUGUCCCGCUCACGUCUUACAUGCUCUGGUUAAGUCAGACACUCAUGGCAGCCUCCUCUCUCCAUUAGCCUACCAGCUCGUUUUCUCCUCUGACUCUCUCUUCUUUUCUUCUUUUUUCUUCUGUUUUGUAGACAGAGUCGCAUCAUGCAGCCCAAAGGGCCUCAGAUAUCUUCAUCUUCCCUCGGCAGCACCCUUGGUGACACUGUGGUCACCUGACUUCUGAGAGUGACUUCUCUUUCCUGCCCUGAGUUUCCCAUGUAGUGAUAUGUAAUUGAAGAAGAUUAUAAUUGGGAGAGCCUCCACCUGGGAGAGCGGUCCCUUCCAUGCCGUUGCUUCUGUGCGGUGGUGUGGUCUGCAAGCUACCUGUAGACACAGCCACGGGGCCUGAGGGAAACAUUCAGGUCUCACUGCAGGCGAAGACACGGAGGGUCAGGCAGGCUCCAAGAGGCCUGGGAGGCCACACAACAAGAAGAUGACUAACUUCUUAUGACCUUGGCCUCUUCUCUGUUCCCAGAGCCCUGGAAGGUUGCUGGAGGCAGGUCACUGCCCGCUCCAGCAGCCCAGCCAGCGGCUCUGAGUGACUCAGGGAAGGAGGGGGACACCUGAGGCUGCUCCCCUGUGUUGGCUCUGCUCCAUGUUCUGAGUCUGAGUUGGUUUGUAACCUCAGGGGAAGAGGUUUGCCACUGAGGCUCGGGAGCCGCGGCUAUUGUUCAGCGACUCGGAGGCCCCAGCUCACCAGGAAAUCUAUGGAGAGGUGAAGGCCACGCUGGCCGGGUCCUUCAAAGCAGUUCCUCUGCCGUAGACCUCUGCUCAGCCCAGCCCACGGCUUCCCAGGAACUUUCUACAAGACCAAAGAGAGGCAAGACUGGGGCCAAAUGUGGCCUGCGGAGGACUUGGCAAAACAGAGGUGAAAGCCAGCGCUUUCGACACAAUCCCAGGAACCGCCCGAUGGCUUGAAAGCCAAGAGCAGAUGAAUAGUGCUGUGUGCACGCCAGACUCUGCGAUGGUUGUCACCAGCUGGGCACAGAAAAAGCCAUCCAUCCGUCCUUCAGUCCAUCUGUCUGCCCGUCUGUCCAUCUAUACUAGUUAGGCAAUCACUAUGUAGGACUCCGCAGCUCCUCUCUCAGCCCGCCACGCCACAGGCUCGCUUGCGCAUGCGUCCUUCGGGCAUGGGGAGGUGAGCAGGGGUCCCACAGCCCACGCCACGCCCAGGCGCCGUCCAUGCAGGAGGCUGUGGCUGAUGACUGCAGAUCAUUCAAGGAAAGGUCACUGACUCAUGCCUACUUUCUAACACAGCAGAGAAUCAAUCACCCAUCGCUGUAAAUCAUCCUUCCUAGCAAAUUCUUUGUGACUUGCCACACAGGAGAUCACUAUGCCCGAGAAUAUUUGCGGAUGGGAAGGAGAUUCCCCAUAGGAAACCAGGCAGGCUGUCUGG